UGCUGACUUCAGCAGCAAGUAUACUAAAAUUAGAAUGACACAGAGGAGCUCAGCAUGGCCCCCUGUGCAAGAAGAUCCUCAGAUUCAUGCCGCAUUCCAUAUUUUU
ensembl:snRNA U6 U6 spliceosomal RNA